rnacentral:rRNA from 1 species
ACGCCCUAAACGAUGCUGACUAGUUGUUCCGGGAUUUACAUCCUGAGUAACGUAGCUAACGCGUGAAGUCAGCCGCCUGGGGAGUACGGUCGCAAGAUUAAAACUCAAAGGAAUUGACGGGGACCCGCACAAGCGGUGGAUGAUGUGGAUUAAUUCGAUGCAACGCGAAAAACCUUACCUACCCUUGACAUGUCACUAACGAAGUAGAGAUACAUUAGGUGCUCGUAAGAGAAAGUGAACACAGGUGCUGCAUGGCUGUCGUCAGCUCGUGUCGUGAGAUGUUGGGUUAAGUCCCGCAACGAGCGCAACCCUUGUCUUUAGUUGCUACGCAAGAGCACUCUAAAGAGACUGCCGGUGACAAACCGGAGGAAGGUGGGGAUGACGUCAAGUCCUCAUGGCCCUUAUGGGUAGGGCUUCACACGUCAUACAAUGAUGCAUACAGAGGGUUGCCAACCCGCGAGGGGGAGCUAAUCUCAGAAAAUGCAUCGUAGUCCGGAUCGUAGUCUGCAACUCGACUACGUGAAGCUGGAAUCGCUAGUAAUCGCAGAUCAGAAUGUCGCGGUGAAUACGUUCCCGGGUCUUGUACACACCGCCCGUCAUACCAUGGGAGUGGGUUUUGCCCGAAGCCGUUAGCCUAACC